CAGGAGGUUGAGAGGUAUUCUAGAGGAAGAAAUGCUCUAAGGGAAGAGGAACGCAUGCUCAAAGGGAAGUGUAUCUGCAGCAGUUUGAACCACGUGUAGAUUCAGGGAGCUCAAGACUGGAGUAAAUGUACCUGCUUCCUAAAAUUCCUGCCAUUAGAUUGUCUGUAAGUAGGGGACUCGAUUUCCUAAAUGGCACGGAUAUCAUGGCUGACUGUGAGUUGGCAAAGCAAGAAUGCAAUUUCUGGGCUUGCCUUGAAGGAUGUAUAGAUUAGCAAGAACGCACCCCUCCUCCAGAUGGUGACACCCCGACCUCCCACGUUUAAGUUCCCAGCAACAGUCCCGCAUGAAACAAAGGGGUAAAACGGGAUGGGCUCCUGGAUUCACAGGGCGCCCUUUAUUUAUGGACUGGACCUGCAGGUGGACUUCAGCACUGGGCGCCCUUGACAUAAGGAUACAGGACACAAAGUCAGACCCCCGUCACCGCUCAGAAUUGGUGGGUCCACUGCUAUCCUGGGCCAGGCUUGAGGGUGUCUCAGUGGAAACCGAGAAGGUGGAACAGAAUCACAGGAUGAUAGAGGCCAAAGAACCUCAUGGAACAUUUACUCAAACCUCCUCGUUUUAGCAGGGAAGUAGAAACAUCACCUCAUGGGUUUUUUUCCCCUGGUGUGGGAGGCAGCCAUAUCAGAGUAAACCUAGCAGCUGCAAAGGGAGGGUUGGAAUUUGGUUUUCCCAAGUCAUUCUAGGUUACUGUGAGGCGUGUGGAUGAGAGGACUCAGACACCUCCAAGGUGGUGGGCGGCUGUGACGUGGAGCAGAUGAGGGCACUCUGGAAGUGACUUAAGGAGGCCCUGAACACCAGGGAGAAUGGAGGUUUGCCGGUUGGGGGACUAUUGUGCCGUGAGAAAGAAAAGACCAAAGGCUUCAGCUGCACAGCUAGCACCACACAGGUGUCUGAAACCCAACUGUAAGCCAAUCUUCGUCUACAGCUGGCUCUUGCUUAUCUUUAGGAACAUGAAUGGAGGGAGUGGAGUGGCAAUAAACCUAAGUGAAAUUAAUAAAUAAUCCAAAAACUG